AUUUGAUUAGGAAGUACAGUUCAGCUUGUAUGGGAUUUUCGCUGCACCUUAUCCCAUGGCAGUCACUGGUAGAGUCUUUACUCUGCACACCACUGCUGACCCCAGAAAUGACCCACAGGUACUACUGGCGAAAGGAGCAAAAAGCUUCCCUCAGCCAGGCCAUUUGUAUCUUCUCAAGAUGAAAUCAGAAGUGCUGCCAAACUUCACCCAGCUGAUGGCUGGCAAAACCUCUCUUUUGGCUGUUUGCUUUUGACUCAGCAUUGAGAACUCCCUUUUUCAUCAGAUAACACUGUAAAGACAUGUGAGAAUACCCCUGGAGAUGCCAGGUAUCCUACACAGAUUUUCCAUC